rnacentral:rRNA from 1 species
UACGUAGGGUGCAGGCGUUAAUCGGAAUUACUGGGCGUAAAGCGUGCGCAGGCGGUCUUUUAAGUCAGAUGUGAAAUCCCCGGGCUUAACCUGGGAACUGCGUUUGAAACUGAAAGGCUAGAGUGUGGCAGAGGGGGGUGGAAUUCCACGUGUAGCAGUGAAAUGCGUAGAGAUGUGGAGGAACACCGAUGGCGAAGGCAGCCCCCUGGGCUAACACUGACGCUCAUGCACGAAAGCGUGGGGAGCAAACAGGAUUAGAAACCCUAGUAGUCC